rnacentral:rRNA from 1 species
CCUACGGGUGGCAGCAGUGGGGGAUAUUGGACAAUGGGGGGAACCCUGAUCCAGCGACGCCGCGUGAGUGAAGAAGUAUUUCGGUAUGUAAAGCUCUAUCAGCAGGGAAGAAAAGAAUGACGGUACCUGACUAAGAAGCCCCGGCUAACUACGUGCCAGCAGCCGCGGUACUACGUAGGGGGCAAGCGUUAUCCGGAUUUACUGGGUGUAAAGGGAGCGCAGACGGCAAUGCAAGCCUGGAGUGAACGGCGGGGGCCCAACCCCCGGACUGCUCUGGGAACUGUAGAGCUAGAGUGCAGGAGAGGCAAGUGGAAUUCCUAGUGUAGCGGUGAAAUGCGUAGAUAUUAGGAGGAACACCAGUGGCGAAGGCGGCUUGCUGGACUGUAACUGACGUUGAGGCUCGAAAGCGUGGGGAGCAAACAGGAUUAGAUACCCCAGUAGUC